CGGGAGCUGGGGUCUGCAGGU
rnacentral:miRNA from 1 species